rnacentral:snoRNA from 1 species
AAGACUAUACUUUCAGGGAUCAUUUCUAUAGUUCAUUAUUAUCCAUCUGCUGCCCGCCUCCCACAAGGAAGCUCAUAGGGCUUGAG